CUAUGGCUGUGAUGAUUGUUUUAUACAGCUUGUUUAUGCCAGUUCUGCUUCAGAAAAUUCUUGAUAGAUAAAGCUGUCAAAUAACACUGAGCCUCUU